UAGUGCUGAUAAUGUGGCAGUGACAAGGUUAUGGGAAGGCUAUUACAUGUCAGAACCACCAGAGAUGCUCAUCAACACAACCUUAUAAUCUAUAAUCAUUGCAGUUGUACUAGAAUAACAGAUAUCAACUUGCAGCUAUGGAGAAAAAGUUCUGUUGCAUGAUUGCAUAUGCAUUCCUGACCACCAUAAUAGCUAUGAGCCUUUCCACUGAUCAAACUGCUCUCCUUUCACUAAAACAACACAUCACCUCUGAUCCCUUUGCUGCAGUUUCAAGAAACUGGACCAAUUCGAGCUCUGUCUGCAGCUGGAUUGGCGUCACUUGCAGCUCGCGCCACCACAGAGUUGCUGCCUUGAAUCUCUCCCACAUGAGUCUCUCUGGCACCAUUCCACCACAGCUCGGACACCUCUCGUUCCUCGUCUCCCUCGACCUCAAAUCCAACCUUCUCAGUGGAGCUAUCCCUCAGGUGUUAGAAAUCCUUAUCAUCAUCUAAAGAGACUUAACAAAACAUUUCCUUCUUGUGUUAUUUGUUUUCUCAGUUUGAUAGAAUCUUAUAAGUGAAUCCACUACUCUUAGUAGCAUACUAUCCUGAUUUAAUCUAUGUAUCUUUUGUCAGGAGCUGUCUCUCCUCCCAGCGGCGUAACUAGAAAAUUAAACAAGCAGAGGCUGAAAUUUAAAUAUAUAUAUAUAUAUAUAUAUAUAUAUAUAUAUAUAGGGUCAUGUUAAUGUCCUUUUCUAUCAUUAGAUUUAAGUUCCAAUUCGAUUUGGAUCAUUGGAUCUACGAGAUGAACGACCCGGAUUUGAUUAGUAAUUAAGCACCCCGUAGUUCAUUAUUUCGACUAUUUCGUGCAUUAUGAGGGUGAAUUAGUAAUUUUAUAGUAUCAAAUCUGGAGAAAACGAGGAGGCGCGAAUUUAGCGGGAUACACCCACUGAAUUCCAUCUACCGCCUCAUUCUUCACAAACCGCAUUUACUCCCCUUAUCUCUCCACUAUCCUUCUCAAAUUCCAUCCGACUAGCAAAUCCCUAGCCGCCGCGGACAUUGUUAUCGGUGAUUAAACCGUUUUUCAGUCGAAUUCCAUGCUUGUCGUCGGUUCCGAACAUUACUCCAACGCGUUCUAAGCAUAGAUCUUAAAAUGCCGAAAAGAGGACGGCCCACCAAUUCGCAGCAAUCCCAGCAAGAUUGGGACUAAGCAACUGAGAAUGAACAUAGAGAAGGCGGUUGAUGUUUUAAUUUACUCUCCAAGGGUUUAGCAAUCUCGUGGGCUAGGGUGUACUAUGGAGUAAGUAACACAACCGUCGGCAAAGUCCACGAGUUCCAGUCAUACCUCUAGGGUUUAGAUAUCAUCAACGUUAGGGAGUAGUUAU